GCCUCUGUAGCUCAGUUGAUUAUAGCGCUGCACCGGAAUCGCAGGGCCGUAGGUUCAAUUCCUACCAGAGGAC